rnacentral:pre_miRNA from 1 species
AGAUGAUCAUGAUGAUGAUGAUGAUGGUGGUGGUUAUGGUGGUUGUGAUGAGCUUCAAGUCGUAGGAAAAUCGAUUUUUCAUUCUCUUUCCACAGCCUCGCCAGCCCAUCAUCAUCAUCAUCAUCAUCAUCAACAACA